AGGGGUUCUAGUUUUUGUCAAAUGAAUGGAUUAGUAUUUAAUGCUCAGUGAAUGUUGGCUAAGUGAAUUAGUAGGUAAGGCAUUCUAGUUUUGGCCCUUCUCCCCACCUUUCCUAAGAAGCCGGGACUCCUGACCACUUCAAACUUGGCCAGUUUUGGGGCAUUCCGUUAGAAUUCUCAGAAUGAAUCAUCAACAAUGACAUGGAGCCCUGUCUCAGGCAAUUUAAUAGAAAAGUAUCCAGCUGGAAAAUCAGAGAUAGCUCAAAAAGCUAGAGAAGGUUUUCAAAUGGUGUCAGUAGUGAAGAGACAGAACUGUGAUCAUGUGAAUGCUUAUUUUGGAGGAUUUUCUAAAUGCUUCAGGGAAGGAGUGUGUGUGUGUGUGUGUGUGUGUGUGUGUGUGUGCGCAUGUGUGCAUGUGUGCAAAGGUGGGAAAAUCCUAGAGGCAUAGAUCAUAGUGACAUAGAUGGAGGACAAGAACAGACACUUCUUUAUACAUUUAAAGACUGCUCCAUUUUUAUCACAAAUGCGAAAAGUCUGGUGACUUUGAGUUACUGCAGUGCUCGGUACAGGAGUAAUUUCUGCAGAACUGAUAAUCCAUUGAUCUGGAUAAGGCCGAGUAGACUGGAAUAUAGGAACCUAGAGUUGGAGGGACAUCAGGCCUCGGACUUCAAUCUAGAAUUCUUCUGGAGGUAGGAAUAAUAGCCACUUCUCUUACACUGGCCUCACAAUAAUGAAAAAAAUAUGAACAUCCUGUUUACUUAAAAAUUCAGCUUUCCUUCAGAAUGCAUUUUGAACAUUUCGAGUUCAUUUGUGAUUUUAACUGGAAUUUGAGGUCAAAGGCUUGACUGAUGACUGUGGCCAAACAUUCUAGAAAUAUAAUGAUAAAAAUAGUAAGUGCUGUUAUAAAGCAGCAACAGAGUUAGAUAUCUUCCAAAUUCAACAUUUCUUACACUCAGCAUUCCCUGUCCUGAUUUCCCAUGAAAUUUUCUGACAGUAUCACUUACUGUUAUUUGACUUGCAAGGCAUUUUACGUAUACAUUAUGUUACUGUUUUGUCAUUUUGGGUUGUUAUAACAGGACACCAGAGACUGGAUGGUUUAAUCAACAUCAAGGCAUUGGCAGAUGUGGUGGAUGGUGUAGGUGCUCUUUCUGACAGUCACUUUUCACUAUAGUUGCCAGAACAGAGAAGAAAGUUCUCUUCUUAGAAGGGCACAAAUACUGUGAGGAGGGCUCCAUUCUCAUGACCUAAUGACCUCCAAGGUCCCAUCUCCACCUAUCACAUACUGAGGAUUAGAUUUUUGUCAUCUGAAUCUGGGGAGGAUGCAACAUUUAGUUCAUAGCAAGUGCCUGGUAAAUGGUGGUUACCUUGCUAUACUCAGAGCAAUGCCUGGAGCAUGUUGAAUUCUGGUACGAAUGUUAACACUGGAUGUUACUGUUCUGUCUUUCUGCAGUGAUUCUUCCAAUUUCCCUGGAACCUGGGGGAGUCGAGGUGGCAGGGACAAGUCCAGGUUGGAAGAGUGUAGAGAUUCUAUCUCAUCUUGCAAAGAUGGCCGUCUAUUGCCUGUGGACUGAAUCUGGCCUGCUGCUUGCUUUAUAAAUAAGACUAUUGGAUCGCAGCCAGGCUCGUUUGUUUAUGUAUUGUUUAAUGCUACUCUGUGCUCUGACAGCAGAGCUGAGUAGUUUCGGCAGAGACCGUAUGGCCCACAAAACGUAAAAUAUUUACUAUCAGGCCUUUUAUGGACAAAGUAAGUGCACCAACCCAUGUUCUUCUCUGUCUCCAUAACUUUUAUGUGGGAACUGUUGAUCCUUAAAGGGGGAUCAGAUUUAAAAAUUAUUCAAUGUUUCUCAGGUGAAAAUAAAAGGAAGCAGGAGAUGGCUUACAGCCCUCUUAACUUUGGCCGCUGGGUGUCUCUCUUCCCUAAACUUUACAAGUAGGUGUCAAACCAGACAUCAGCCAACUGGGGCUGUGACAUACCAGACAAAUAUUGACAGUUGCUAAGGCAACCGGGGUAAAGUAUUGGCCAGAGGAUAAUAUAGGCGCCAACUGUGCAUGCCAAGUUUCUCACAUAGGGGAGAUACAAAGACAGAAAAAUGAAUGAAAAAAUAACAUUUCAAGACCUCGCCUCAACUGUGGCUUAAGAAUCACUUACAGCUGAUGUUUAUCUUAAAUCCUCUGCUCCCCUCUUCCAAUUUUUCUAGAAAUUAACGCCUUGAGGACUUGGAGGCCCUGUCAACUCUAAUGUAUCCCAAGAGGGGAAUCUGUUUGGGUAUCAGUUCUUUUUUCCAGGCGUGUUUGGAGUUUACUUUUCCAAAUCGUAUUGUAACGUCAUGGCUAACUGUAAGGCCACGUGUGUUUCUUGGCUUGUGUGCUGUUGUCACGUACGUGGUUUCUGCAGUACUUUCUGUCAGAGAUUUCUCAUUAUCCUACCUUGGGAAUAAUUGGCCUGCUUUUUGUCUUUGCCUCGUGGAACAUGGUGUGAAAGGGUUUUUAUCUGUGGUUAAGCUUAAGCGUUGACCUUAUGCUUUUGCCUUUAUGCUAGUGCAGGGCUUUUCAACAAUGACGCUGUUGAAGUUGGGGACAGACACUUCCUCUCGGUGGAAGAGUGUCCCACGUAAGGUGUUUCCAAUCAUCCCUGGCCUUUAUCUGCUAAAGGCCAGGGGCAGCUCUUCCAUACUGUUUUGAUUGAAAAUAUGUCUCAGUGUUAUCAAGCAUUCUUUGGAAAACAGAAUGGGCCCUGGUUGAGAUUACUAAACGAGGUAAAUCCUAAACCAUUUCUUCUCUGCAUUAUCCUUAAAGCAUUCUCCACUGGAACUCAAAUGUCAAAACACUAAUGGGAGAAAUUGUGGAAACUCAAUUCUCCAAAUUGUAAUGGAGAAGCUCCAUGUUUCUCCAAAGUUAAAAAGGCCAGAAAUUAUAAAUAUUCAUGAAUUCAGAGAGAUCAGUCAGCAGGAGCAGCUUUCAAUGAGUGAUAUACAAGGUUAGAUCCCCCAGAGGAAAUGUUGAGGCCCUUGUCCUCAUGGAUGGUGUAGAACUCCUGCUGUGUGAGUGCUCUUGGACAGAGACAUCACUGGGGAUGGUUCCUGACCGUGCCCAAGCUUUGCUCUUCCUAAGCUUUCUCACUGAGUAAGGCUGGCUCUCUUGGUUUGAGCCAGUGGAACUGAUUAUAGCAUGGCACCUAGGAAAAUUCUACAUCUGACCUUUGUCUUCUAGAAAACCAUCACCCUGUCCAUAGGCCCUGCAAACUGCCCAGAUUUGAAUUUCUCCUUGAAGGCUGAGAAAUUCCAGUUUCCCCACUGGACAGGAGGGGCUGGCUGAGGUCAUUAUGAUGAUUCGUAACAGCAUGUUGGGCAGUAACUCCCAAAGGAGCUUGAGAUAUUGAUUUUAUGCAUGUCGUGUUAAAGAUUGCGCAGUGGUAAUCCUGCUUUGUAUAUUACUUCUUGAAGUCUUUCAAUGAGAUGGCUUUGCCACCAGCAUCACUGACUCAUUCUUAUUAAUCUUUGUGAAGAGAGUUUGAUGUGUUUAAAUGAGCUCAUCCAAAUAGCAUCAGUUACCCUUCUCUGAUAUUAAGGGGAAACUGGAAUGAAGCAUGAUUUAUAGAAAAUAGAACUCUCACCCUUAUUUCUUUAUUUUUCUUGGAUGGGUCAGCCAUCUACAAAGCGGGUUAUGAUUUGCAAAGUCUGUAAAAUGUGUUGUAGAACUGUUUUGCUGUGCCUAAGCGUACUCCCCGUCUAUGACAAUGAGUUCACGUCCACUUAAUGGAAAUUGCCUUUGCUAAGUUCCCUAAGGGAGACUGGAAAGCUUUCUGGGAAAGGGCAAAAGCCGCGAAACCAGCAAGAUGCCUUUCCGGUCCUUAAAUUAAAGAUUGAAGUUGCACGAGGGAGACGUGACUGAUGGUUCUGCUGAUCUCAUUGUCAGAAAACCAGGACCUAAUGAUGGCAGCUAUGAAAUUCUUCCUAGGCUGGAGGGAAAACACAAUGGAGUUCUUUCAGUAUCUUCCACAGAAAGUGACAUGGAUCUUACAAUAGAUGAUGCAUCCUAGGCCCACUGGCAGAAUGACGCAUACAUUAAUCGUACAUCUACAAUCAGUGGCUCCUAGAGUGAGAUAAAAUUUGGAAUUACUCUUAUUACUUUUGCUAAUUUGACUAUGAGGACUAUGAAAGAAGAUGCCAGAGACUUCAGCAUUUCCUAGGCUGAUGCUCAGACUUUCAUUUUCUUGUCCUAAGGAGAACGACCCACAUCCUUUAGGAAGACUGGGACAACACUGCCAUGCUUACCCUUUGCACCUCCUGAUUAUGCCUGGAACAGCUGGCUUAAUGUAACAGUAACUUACAGUCCCUAGCUGGAAGCCCACAAAGAAUUCUUCAUUAUUCAGAGUUUAGUGAGUGCCCGCAGUACUACUGAAGUGGUAAUUGAAUUUUGUGAAGCCUCUGUGGUCAUGCCAGCAGGGCAAGGUCUGCAAGAACCAUGUGAGGUGGGCAAGAUGAAUACAUUUUCAACAAUAAUGGAUCUUCAAACCAAGCGCCACAGCACACAGCCAAAAGGACGUACUGUCUUGAUGAUUUGACUGAUGCUGUUGAGCACGGUGGAGUGAAACAUGUCCAGAAACACAAUGAUGUGUACCUAUAAGGAAGACGUCCAGGGAGAAAUCUAACCACUGCCCGGAAAUCACUACCAAUGCCUUGAUAAUCUCAUCAGGUACAGAUACGUCUAUGACAAAUUAUCUCCUUGUGGAGUCAGAAAUGUCCUUGCCUCACUGUAUAAUUGAAUCCUUGUGUGGAAAAAUAAAACUCCCCAAACAAU